AGGAGUUUGAUCAUGGCUCAGAACGUACGCUGGCGGCACGCCUAACACAUGCAAGUCGAACGAAGUAGCAAUACUUAGUGGCAGACGGGUGAGUAACAUGUGGGUAUCUUCCCUUUGGCCUGGAAUAACACGAGGAAACUUGUGCUAAUACCGGAUAAGUCUUUACGGAGAAAGCUUUAUGCACCAUUGGAUGAGCCUGCACUUGAUUAGUUUGUUGGUGGGGUAAUGGCCUACCAAGACUUUGAUCAAUAGCUGAUUUGAGAGGAUGAUCAGCCACAUUGGGACUGAGACACGGCCCAAACUCCUACGGGAGGCAGCAGUGGGGAAUCUUGCACAAUGGAGGAAACUCUGAUGCAGCGAUGCCGCGUGAGUGAAGAAGGCCUUUGGGUUGUAAAGCUCUUUCGUCGGGGAAGAAAAUGACUGUACCCGAAUAAGAAGGUCCGGCUAACUUCGUGCCAGCAGCCGCGGUAAUACGAAGGGACCUAGCGUAGUUCGGAAUUACUGGGCUUAAAGAGUUCGUAGGUGGUUGAAAAAGUUGGUGGUGAAAUCCCAGAGCUUAACUCUGGAACUGCCAUCAAAACUUUUCAGCUAGAGUUGAUAGAGGAAAGCAGAAUUUCUAGUGUAGAGGUGAAAUUCGUAGAUAUUAGAAAGAAUACCAAUUGCGAAGGCAGCUUUCUGGAUCAUUACUGACACUGAGGAACGAAAGCAUGGGUAGCGAAGAGGAUUAGAUACCCUCGUAGUCCAUGCCGUAAACGAUGUGUGUUAGACGUUGGAAAUUUAUUUUCAGUGUCGCAGCGAAAGCGAUAAACACACCGCCUGGGGAGUACGACCGCAAGGUUAAAACUCAAAUGAAUUGACGGGGACCCGCACAAGUAGUGGAGCAUGUGGUUUAAUUCGAAGAUACGCGCAGAACCUUACCAACACUUGACAUGUUCGUCGCGACUUUAAGAGAUUAAAGUUUUCGGUUCGGCCGGACGAAACACAGGUGCUGCAUGGCUGUCGUCAGCUCGUGUCGUGAGAUGUUGGGUUAAGUCCCGCAACGAGCGCAACCCUCACUUUUAGUUGCCAUCAUUAAGUUGGGCACUCUGAAAGAACUGCCAGUGAUAAGCUGGAGGAAGGUGGGGAUGACGUCAAGUCCUCAUGGCCCUUACGUGUUGGGCUACACACGUGCUACAAUGGUAUCUACAACAGGAAGCAAAACUGCGAAGUUAAGCAAAUCCUCAAAAGAUACCUCAGUUCGGAUUGCACUCUGCAACUCGAGUGCAUGAAGCUGGAAUUACUAGUAAUCGUGGAUCAGCGUGCCACGGUGAAUGCGUUCCCGGGUCUUGUACACACCGCCCGUCACACCAUGGGAGUUGGUUCUACCUUAAGGCAAGGUUUCAUACCCUUGACCACGGUAUAGUCAGCGACUGGGGUGAAGUCGUAACAAGGUAACCGUA
rnacentral:rRNA from 1 species